rnacentral:lncRNA from 1 species
CCCUCUCCUGCGGGGCCAGUCAGAGUGUUAGCAGCAGCUACUUAGCCUGGUACCAGCAGAAACCUGGCCUGGCGCCCAGGCUCCUCAUCUAUGAUGCAUCCAGCAGGGCCACUGGCAUCCCAGACAGGUUCAGUGGCAGUGGGUCUGGGACAGACUUCACUCUCACCAUCAGCAGACUGGAGCCUGAAGAUUUUGCAGUGUAUUACUGUCAGCAGUAUGGUAGCUCACCUCCCACAGUGAUU